UAACCGUAGGUGAACCUGCGGUUGGAUCAUUAAAAAAAAAAUUUUUAAAAGGGAGUGGUAUUUUUGCCCUCCCUUUUAUAAAAAACCAUGUGAAUUUUUUUGUAACGUCUCUCGGUGGGUUCUAAAAAAGUUGAAGGAAGGUAAUCAUUCGUGAGUGGUAUAAAGCCUCCCCUCAAUGGGUGUUCCUAACAAGACGCUCACCCACCGUGUUGAAAAUAAACUACUUUUAUUUUGUUGAAUUUUUUUAAAUGUGAUACCUUAUCACAAGAAAAAAACAACUUUUGACAACGGAUCUCUAGGCUCUC
rnacentral:misc_RNA from 1 species